AUGUUCCAAACAAACACCCGCCGGCGGCGGCCGUCGUCCUUGGAGGAUCCAUGCCCGGUCCUCCCCGACGACGUCAUCGAGGACAUCUUGGCGCGGCUGCCGGCCAAGGCAGUGCACAGAUGCCGCUGCCUCUCUCGCACCUGGUCCGCCACGCUCGCCUCCGGCGACUUCGCCAACCUCCACCUCCGCCUCGCCAACCGCCACGGCGGCCCAAGGAUCCUGUUCGUGGAGAACUGGGGCUCAACCUACCACUGCCGCCCGAAAGUGCAGGUGGGGUCGCCGGAUAACCCUGGUCGUACGACUCUGAUGGAGCUCCCCCAUAUUCACGAUGUUGGCGGCCGCCCCACGGGGAACCUCCUCCCGCGCCUCGUCACGCAGCAGUGCCGUGGCCUCUUCAUCCUCCAAGCCGGAAGGACGCACUACGUGCUCAACCCGUCUACCGGCAGGAUGGCAGCUCUGCCGGAGAGCCCGGACAAGGGCGACCACCGUAGCAGACACCUAGGGCUAGGCUACGACACGCGCACCAUGACGCACAAAGCUGUGCGCGUCUGCUGCCUCCCGGAAUCCGUGAAAUAUGAGGUCUACGAGAUCAACUCCGUCCCGGCGCUUUGGAGGCCGGCCAAGGGUUGUGCUCCUGAGAAACCACCGCUGGACUGGGUAGACAACCGCUACGACCUGAGCGUCUUUGAGCAAGGGCACGUGUAUUGGUUGGCCAGGCAUAAGCUUGAUCUCAGUCGGAAGACCUGUUCGUCUUCUUCUUCAACCUUGACAAUGAGACGUUUGGAUCCAUGCCGUCAUUGCCGUCAUUCGUCAUGGAUAGAGGAUGCAUUCACCAUCGCUACAACUUGA
rnacentral:rRNA from 1 species